rnacentral:rRNA from 1 species
GACGAACGCUGGCGGCGUGCCUAGUACAUGCAAGUUGAGCGCUGAAGGUUGGUACUUGUACCAACUGGAUGAGCAGCGAACGGGUGAGUAACGCGUGGGGAAUCUGCCUUUGAGCGGGGGACAACAUUUGGAAACGAAUGCUAAUACCGCAUAAAAACUUUAAACACAAGUUUUAAGUUUGAAAGAUGCAAUUGCAUCACUCAAAGAUGAUCCCGCGUUGUAUUAGCUAGUUGGUGAGGUAAAGGCUCACCAAGGCGAUGAUACAUAGCCGACCUGAGAGGGUGAUCGGCCACAUUGGGACGGAGACACGGCCCAAACUCCUACGGGAGGCAGCAGUAGGGAAUCUUCGGCAAUGGACGAAAGUCUGACCGAGCAACGCCGCGUGAGUGAAGAAGGUAGUCGGAUCGUAAAACUCUGUUGGUAGAGAAGAACGUUGGUGAGAGUGGAAAGCUCAUAAAGUGACGGUAACUACCCAGAAAGGGACGGCUAACUACGUG